UCUGAUGACCCAAGAUAAAAUCCGAAGAGAAAAAUUGAGCGCCCCAGCGUCUCUUGUAUACAUACCACUUGGAGUACCACAACCUAGAUUUAGAUGGCUGGGCUGGGCUGGGCAUACAUCACAUGCAUGCGUUGCACUCACAGAUUUGAUUCAUUGAUUGUUUGAUUAGGCCACCAUGCGGCGGCGAUCGGAUAUAUCCUAGCUCACCCUCUAUACCAGACAUAUGCAGCAGCAACUGGUCAGACUAGCCAGCACACUUUAAUGGCGCCGCAGCUGCAUCCUGAUCGCUGCCGCACCUGGGCCUGGUCCUGGCCACGGUCGCCGCUCGGCAUAGUACUCCUAGCACUAGCUAUAGUGAGCCUGGGCGGCGGUGGCGGCGAUGCCCUGAGCCUGGACCACUACCGGCAGAGCUGCCCGAGGGCGGAGGCGGCNN
rnacentral:lncRNA from 1 species